AGAGAAUGAUCCUGGAAUGAACUUCCCUUGAUCAAACUGUACCAAUAAUGAUGUCUUUCCAACUCCGCUGUCACCUACCAGGAUAGUCUUAUGCAGCAGUGCU